rnacentral:rRNA from 1 species
AACGAACGCUGGCGGCAGGCUUAACACAUGCAAGUCGAGCGCCUCGCAAGAGGAGCGGCAGACGGGUGAGUAACGCGUGGGAAUCUACCGUGCCCUAAGGAAUAGCUCCGGGAAACUGGAAUUAAUACCUUAUACGCCCUUUGGGGGAAAGAUUUAUCGGGGUAUGAUGAGCCCGCGUUGGAUUAGCUAGUUGGUGGGGUAAAGGCCUACCAAGGCGACGAUCCAUAGCUGGUCUGAGAGGAUGAUCAGCCACAUUGGGACUGAGACACGGCCCAAACUCCUACGGGAGGCAGCAGUGGGGAAUAUUGGACAAUGGGCGCAAGCCUGAUCCAGCCAUGCCGCGUGAGUGAUGAAGGCCCUAGGGUUGUAAAGCUCUUUCACCGGUGAAGAUAAUGACGGUAACCAGAGAAGAAGCCCCGGCUAACUUCGUGCCAGCCGCCGCGGUAAUAC